CAAUCCUCUACUUGGCUCAGGGAGUGUUUGAUGAGUGUGACACCGAGGUGGAUGUGCUCCACUGGUCCAGACACAAUGUUUUUCUGCUCUACGACAUGGGAAUCUUCACAGCACUGCUGGAGCUGCUUAGCAUGGAGAUAGACAAUAACCAGGCGUGCAGCAGUGCAGUGAGGAAGCCUGCCAUCUCUCUUGCAGACAGCACGGAGCUCAGAGUCUUACUGAGCAUCAUGUACCUUAUGGUGGAGACUGUUAGAGUUCAAACGGAGGAUGACAGACCAGAGUGGAGGGCAGCAAGAGAAGCCUUCAAGAAUGAG